AUGUCAUUGUUACUCUUGAUCCUUUCUGUGAAGACUGCAUUGUUCUGUCUGAAAGCUUGUUCUUCAUUAGUCCCAGCAUCUGCACAGGUGCCUGAGAUCAUCAAGCACGUUUACCACCACAUGCCCAGUGCCACGGACGCCACGGCCCAGGAGACCAUCUGGAAGGUGCUCCACGUGCUGGCCCAGGCCUACACGGAUGAGGUGGUCCUGACACUCUUCGAGAUGGACGAGCAGUCCCAGAGGUGGGUGGGGUCCCCGGGGCGGCAGACAAGUCCCAGACUCUGCUGAUCUGCUUAUUCUUAAAAUAUGAGCUUCCUGGGUGGCUCAGUGGUAAAGAACCCACCUGCCAAUGCAGGAGAUGUGAGUUCGAUUGCUGGGUCGGGAAGAUCCCUUGGAGGAGGGCAUGGCAACCCACUCCAGUGUUCCUGCCUGGAGAAUCCCAUGAGCAGAGGAGCCUGGCGGGCUACAGUCCACUGGGUCACACAGAGUCAAGCACGACUGAGUGACGAAACGACAGCACAGCUGACUUACAGGUACUGAUGGUGUUCUUGGUGUCGUGGCGUCUCACUCAUGGAGCUGGCACUUGGAGGUUCUUUCAGUCUGCAAACACUUAUCUUUUAUGUCUGGGAAUUUUUCUCAAAUAGUUUCUUUGAUCAUUUCCUCUCUUUCCCCUGAUGUCCCACCUCCCACCUUUGAACACUCUAUUAUUUAAUGUUGGAUUUCCUGGAUAGAAUCAUUAAUUUCCUUUUUUCUUCUCACAUUCCAUAUUUUAUCUAUUUAUUCUGCUUUCUACCCCUUCCCCCAGAGGCUCAGAUGAUCAAGAAUCCACCUUCAAUGUGGGAGACCUGGGUUCGAUCCCUGGGUCGGGAAGAUCCCCCGGAGGACGGCAUGGCAACCCACUCCAGUAUUAUUACGUGGAGAAUCCCAUGGACAGAAGAGCCUGGCCGGCUACAGUCCAUGGGGUCGCAGAGAGUCGGACACGACUGAGAGACUAAGCACAACAAUUCUGCUUUCUGGGAUGUUUCCCCAACUUUAUCUUCUCGCCUCUUACUGAGUUUGUUUGUUUGUUUAAAUAUUCACUUAUCUGGCUGCUCCAGGUCUUAGUUGCAGCAUGUGGGGUCCCAGUUGUGACAUGUGGGGUCUAGUUCCCUAACCAGAGACUGAACCCAGAACCCUGCAUUGGGAGCUCGGAAUCGUAGCCACUGGCCCACUGGGGAAGUCUCUGACCUUGUGUUGAGUUUUUAAUUUGUCAUGCCAUACUAUUUUAAUUUUCAAAAACUCUUAUUUUCUUCCCUGAAUUUCUCUUAUCCUUUAACAGUAUCUUAUUCUCGUUUCAUGGAUACCAAUGAUACUAAUUUUACAAUUUGGGGGUGUCUUUUUUUUUUUUAGUUUUCUCUUUCAUAUAUUUAAGAGUGGGACACAAUAAAAGUUGGCUGGAAGCUCUGUACCUGGGGAUG
ensembl:lncRNA